rnacentral:rRNA from 1 species
UACGUAGGGGGCAAGCGUUGUCCGGAUUUAUUGGGCGUAAAGAGCGUGUAGGCGGUCAGGUAGGUCCGUUGUGAAAACUCGAGGCUCAACCUCGAGACGUCGGCGGAAACCAUCUGGCUAGAGUCCGGAAGAGGAGAGUGGAAUUCCUGGUGUAGCGGUGAAAUGCGCAGAUAUCAGGAGGAACACCAAUGGCGAAGGCAGCUCGCUGGGACGUGACUGACGCUGAGACGCGAAAGCGUGGGGAGCAAACAGG